UAUUAUGCAGCAACGCAAGACAUGGAGCCGGGAAAGUUAUACCGCAUCUCAACUUCAGCAUCCCAUGCGCAGUCUUGGCACCAAUUUUCAAGUUUGCAGAAGAUAUGCAAAACAUGGAGCUCCUUCAAACACUUGAUCAACCAAACGAAGAACUCUCAUCCGUUUGGGCUUUGAUGCCAUCACUAUCACCCAAGACUGAGCAGUCUCUUCCCAGUCUGCCUAAGUUACUCAAAGAUGG